UACGAAGGGGGCUAGCGUUGCUCGGAAUUACUGGGCGUAAAGGGCGCGUAGGCGGACGUUUAAGUCAGAGGUAAAAGCCCAGGGCUCAACCUUGGAACUGCCUUUGAUACUGGAUGUCUUGAGUUCGGGAGAGGUGAGUGGAAUGCCGAGUGUAGAGGUGAAAUUCGUAGAUAUUCGGCGGAACACCAGUGGCGAAGGCGACUCACUGGCCCGAUACUGACGCUGAGGCGCGAAAGCGUGGGGAGCAAACAGG
rnacentral:rRNA from 1 species